rnacentral:rRNA from 1 species
GCCACAUACUCGGCCCAAUCUUGCUACGCUGCCACCUUCCAGGGAUCUACACGUUGCCACUCAUGGAAGCUGAUUUGGAAGAGUUGGGCGCCACCCUGCGUCAAAUUCUUCCACUGGCUUACCUACCAGGACCGUUGUUGGAUGGCGUCGAGACUGGCGAGCCGCGGCCUGCAUCACCACCCUAGGUGCCUCCUUUGCGACCAAGACCCAGAGACCAUCCAACACUUGCUACUGGCAUGCCCAUUUGCUAAGCAGACCCGGCACAUCAUCCUAGACUGGGCGCACAUCCCUGCCCAAACGCCAGCCAAUGAAACCACCUUGAUGGACUGGUGGCUGCGAGCGAAGGCGCAAACCCCUCCUACACUACGCAAAGCUCUGCAAUCGAUCACACUGCUCGUCCCCUAG